UGGGGUGUCAACAAUUAAAAAAUUUACAAACACAGAAAACUCAAACGCACUGGUUUGGUUUGAUGAAAAUCAAAUUGAACCAGACAAAACAUGUAUUGAAAAUGAAGAAUCAUAAAUUUAUUUUUUGAUGAAACAACAUAAUUUUCAUGUUUUUCUUUUUUGCCGCAAGAGUGGCAGUAUGGGGGAGAAAGACUCUCGGAGACACAAAGUCCAUAUUACACAGUCUUUUCAACAACGAAUGUUGUAGUUGGUAUAACAAUACCUAACAAAAGAACGUACAUAACAAAAUAUGUAAACAAAACAAUCACAAAAAUAUUGUUUGUGAAAAAAGGCAAAAAUAUCGGUUUCUGAAAACGGAAAACGGGGUUCGAUAGUAAAUAACUAGUGCUAUCGAAAUCCAGGGAUGUCACUUGCGAAAAAUUAGAAGUUUCUAGUGUGUGUAAAAUCAAUGUGAAAAACUUAGAGAUAUUCGGCUUUAUACGAACACACAAGUAAUAUGAUCUGUCAAAAUUUUUUGCAGAAUAGGACGGAUGGGUCCUCUAUGAAGAAAAACUUUUUAACAAACUUUUUUCAACUUUAACAAAUUUUUUUUCGAGUUACAAAAUUAUAAAAAAGCAUUGCUUUAUUUAUAAAUUUGUGAAAAAUUUUCAUAAAAAUGAAAAUCUUAUUUAAGCACCAAAACUGAAAUAUAUAAUCGAUAGGGAAUCGAAAAAGGAAUCGAUCUCUCUUUAAGUAUUCUUCGCGGUGCUUGCUAUGAUGUGUGAUGUAACAAACUUUAAAGAAAUUAAAAAUUUAACAAAAAGCGUUUAUACUUAAAAGAAUUAAAAAUAUUCUUUGAGCAAGAAAACAGUAAAUAGUGCCCGAUGGGGAAUCGAUAGACUGAAUUGAUUUCAUUUAUUGGUACUUCCUAUUAGUCAGUGUAACUUAAAAUAGUUUGACGAAUUCGCAAAUUUUAUGAAAAGGUUUUCAUACCAAAGUAGUACUUGCUAUUAGCCAGUGUACUGUAACAAACUUUGACAAAUUCACAAAUUUUAUCAAAAAGUUCUUAUACUAAAAAAUUUUAAAACAUUCGUUGAGCAGCUAAACUAAAAAAAGUGAUCGAUAGGAAAUGGAUAGAAGAUUCAAUCCGCAUAUAGAUUUCAUUUCUGAGUACUUGUUAUAAGACGGUCUAAUGUAACAAACUAGGACAAAUUCUAAAAUUUUAUGAAAAAGUUUUUAUACCAAAAAAUUUUUAAAUAUUCGUUGAGCAGCAAAACUAAAAUAUGUGAUCAAUAGGGAAUCAAUAGGCAAAUCGUACCGUAUAUUGAUUUUUUCUGAUUACUUGCUAUUAGCCGAUGAACCGUAACAGACUUUGACAAAUUCGCAAAUUUAAUGAAAAAGUUUUUAUAUUAAACAAUUUUAAAAUAGUCGUUGAGCAGCAAAACUGUAAUAUAUGAUCAAUAGGGAAUUAAUAGCACAGGGUAUACAGAGACGUCACGGCAAAAAAGUAUAUUUGUCCCUUUCGCACGAAACCAUUUCAACUGUUUUGUUUUGAUCUUAUUUUUUAGCGCGUUUUUAUGAUUUUCUUUUGGUUUUAUUCUAUAGCGCGUUUUUUUAUUUUUUUUUAAUUUUCUUGUUUUCUUAUUAGAGAAAGAGGAUUUGUUGGAGAAAAUCUAAAGUAUUCUUAUUGAAAAAAAUUUAUGAAUUUACUAACAUUCUUUUGUUUUCUUUACAGAAAAUUAACAAAAUAAGUCACAAUGAGCACAAGAAGAUGUAUUAAAGGUUGCCCCCCAGGCGAGCAGCUCCAUUACUUCCCUACCGAUGCUAAAAGUCUGAAAUCAGCAAACCUCAAGAACUGUGGCCAAGAUGCACUGAGACCAUGAUGAAACCUAGUUUCUCCUAACAGCUUGUGACAUUGCGGUUGAAAUUUUGACAAUAAAGAAGCACCUUUUACUGAAGUUUCCAAAUGCUGAAGUUUCUGAUGUUUCCAAAUGUCUGUGUUAAGUAACCCCAGUUUUUACAAACAAAUUUAACAUCAGAAUACAAUUCAACAAUCAUCACAAUCGUUUUUUUUAUUGUAUUAUUUUAACAAAAGUAAUUGUUUAUAUGUUUAACUCGUUUUUAUUUAUAUAUCUUUUUUUGUGUAAUUAAAAAUGAAUUGAAGAUGAAAAUAAUCAGUAAUCUGCAUAAUAUUUAAUAAAUAAAACUAUUAUUUUGUUUCCAAUUGACUUUUAGUUAAUUUUUAUUAUUUUUCUUUUUAAAUUUUAUUUCAAUAAAUGUAUAUACUAUUUGUAAAAGUA